rnacentral:rRNA from 1 species
GAAUCAACGCUGGCGGCGUGCCUAACACAUGCAAGUCGAACGCGAGAGGGGCUUCGGCCCCGAUUGAGUGGCGAACGGGUGAGUAACACGUGGGUGACCUACCUUCGAGUGGGGGAUAACGUCCCGAAAGGGACGCUAAUACCGCAUAACAUUCCGCUUUUGAACAAGUGGAAAUCAAAGCCGGGGAUCGUAAGACCUGGCGCCUUGAAGAGGGGCCCGCGUCCGAUUAGCUAGUUGGUAGAGGUAACGGCUCACCCAAGGCGACGAUCGGUAGCCGGCCUGAGAGGGCGGACGGCCACACUGGGACUGAGACGCGGCCCAGACUCCUACGGGAGGCAGCAGGUGGGGAAUCUUGGACAAUGGAGGCAACUCUGAUCCAGCCAUGCCGCGUGGGUGAUAAGGUCUUCGGAUUGUAAAGCCCUUUCGGCGGGACGAUAAUGACGGUACCCGCACGAAGAAGCUCCGGCUAACUUCGUGCCAGC